UAAUGCAUAGGAAUCUACCUAGUAGUAUGGGAUAGCCACUAGAAAUGGUGGGUAAUACUGUAUAAUCCCUGCGGGGGAAAGAUUUAUCGCUAUUAGAUGAGCCUAUGUUAGAUUAGCUAGUUGGUAGGGUAAAGGCCUACCAAGGCGAUGAUCUAUAGCUGGUCUGAGAGGAUGAUCAGCCACACUGGAACUGAGAUACGGUCCAGACUCCUACGGGAGGCAGCAGUGGGGAAUAUUGGACAAUGGGCGCAAGCC
rnacentral:rRNA from 1 species